AAGCGGUGAGGUGGAAGACUAGUCGCCCUUUAGAUCAUAACUUCCUGCGAAAGCUGUGUCGUUUGAACGGCUACAUUAUUUUAAAAUGGGGACCUUUCCUUUCUUCAACAUUCCUCAGCUCUUUACUAUGUUGGCAUUUCUUCUCUCUUUAACGCUGAUGGAAGGUCCUUCAAUAGCACUUGCAUUCCCAAGUCCUGGGGUUGGCCCAAGUGUUAUACUUAUUCCAGGUGUCGUAGCAGGAGAUAGGCUAAUGUAUCCAGUAGGAAAGGGUCAACACCACCGUGCUCCUGGAAAACUGCACCACCGGAGGCCUGUCCAAGGUAGCCUGAAGCCCCCGCAGACUCAGGGAGGAAAACACUCGCCGCCACCACUAGGCAAACCGCCGAGAAGAUUGCUCCCAUAACGUAAAAGCAAAUACGACAGAUGAAAUCUGAGCUGACCACGAAAAGGAAUGGUGAUCGUUCUGUGAGCACAUGGGGCAACCAGGAGAGGACACAUUGCUUUCAUAUGACGUUCGCAAAGUUAUUAUUUUUGGUUUUCAUUAACCAUGCUGGAAAUAAAGCUGAAUUUUUUUUGGUGCA